AGGGUUUGAUCAUGGCUCAGAUUGAACGCUGGUGGUAUGCUUAACACAUGCAAGUCGAACGGUAACAUUGGAGCUUGCUCCAGAUGACGAGUGGCGGACGGGUGAGUAACGCGUAGGAAUCUGCCUAGUAGUGGGGGACAACAUGUGGAAACGCAUGCUAAUACCGCAUACGCCCUACGGGGGAAAGCGGGGGAUCUUCGGACCUCGCGCUAUUAGAUGAGCCUGCGUUAGAUUAGCUUGUUGGUGGGGUAAUGGCCUACCAAGGCGACGAUCUAUAGCUGGUCUGAGAGGACGAUCAGCCACACUGGGACUGAGACACGGCCCAGACUCCUACGGGAGGCAGCAGUGGGGAAUAUUGGACAAUGGGCGCAAGCCUGAUCCAGCAAUACCACGUGUGUGAAGAAGGCCUGAGGGUUGUAAAGCACUUUCAAUUGGGAGGAAAACAGCUGGGUUAAUAGCCCUGCUCUUGACAUUACCUUUA
rnacentral:rRNA from 1 species